GAGAGAGCGAGAGAGAGGGAGAGAGAGAGAGCGCAAUGCAUGUUUCCCUGACACCCUCCCCCCUUUUACUCUCUCUCAUCUCAACUCUGUUUUCACUCUCCUACUUUUUCCACUAUAUAUUGACUUCCCCAUUGUUCGCCCUGUCCCUCAGUUCUCUCCAACUCUCUCUCUCUCUUUUUCUUUUUUACUGCUCAGAACUUCUUCUUACACAUUGACACACCCAAAGCUUCCUCGGCCAAACCUCCUCCUCCUAACCAACCUUUCAAAAGGGCUAUUACAGCAGUGUUGAAAAAAGUUAGUGUUCACAGUGAUGGAAAGGCUGAACUCAGAGCUGUACUUGCAGAACUGUUACAUAAUGCAAGAGAAUGAGAGGCUUAGGAAGAAAGCCCAACUUCUCAACCAAGAAAAUCAAACAUUGCUUUCUGAGCUCAAGCAGAAACUUUCCAACAAGCCAAACAAGCACCCAAAAUCCAGUGGUGGCCCAAACUCAAUUCCUGACCUCAACCUUUGCUCCACCUCCAACCCAAAGCCCUCAAAAUCCAGCAAACCCUGAGCAGCAAGUGAACCCAAAACACAACAUCAUGGACCCACCUAGAAUUCCCCUCUUUCUUUUUUUUUUGUGUGUAAAACCAUAGGUGUCAGUUAUAUAUGUAGGUCAAUAGUAGCCAUCUAUCAAUCUGGUUUUACAUUUUAGAUAUAUAUAUUUCCAUCUAUUUUAGUAUCAUGUCAUCCUUUUGGGGGCUUAAAAUGUUGUAUCUCUGAACUACAAAAGUGUGUUAGCUUAUCAACUAGAAAAAGGAGUAUAAUAUUUUUAGCU